rnacentral:misc_RNA from 1 species
UUACCGUAGGUGAACCUGCGGAAGGAUCAUUAUUGUAUAACCGAGGUGCGAGGGCUGUCGCUGACCCGAAAGGUCGUGCACGCCCGAGUGCCCUCACACACAUCCAUCUCACCCCUAUGUGCACCACCGCGUGGGUCACCCUUUGGCUUGUUCGGAGGGGGGCUUACGUUUUCACACAAACUUUGUAUGCAGUGUAGAAUGUAUUUUUUGUUUUUGCGAUCACGCAAUCAAUACAACUUUCAACAACGGAUCUCUUGGCUCUC